rnacentral:rRNA from 1 species
UAGGGAAUCUUCCGCAAUGGGCGAAAGCCUGACGGAGCAACGCCGCGUGAGUGAUGAAGGUCUUCGGAUUGUAAAACUCUGUUAUUAGGGAAGAACAUACGUGUAAGUAACUAUGCACGUCUUGACGGUACCUAAUCAGAAAGCCACGGCUAACUACGUGCCAGCAGCCGCGGUAAUACGUAGGUGGCAAGCGUUAUCCGGAAUUAUUGGGCGUAAAGCGAGCGCAGGCGGUUAGAUAAGUCUGAAGUUAAAGGCUGUGGCUUAACCAUAGUACGCUUUGGAAACUGUUUAACUUGAGUGCAAGAGGGGAGAGUGGAAUUCCAUGUGUAGCGGUGAAAUGCGUAGAUAUAUGGAGGAACACCGGUGGCGAAAGCGGCUCUCUGGCUUGUAACUGACGCUGAGGCUCGAAAGCGUGGGGAGCAAACAGGAUUAGAUACCCUGGUAGUCCACGCCGUAAACGAUGAGUGCUAGGUGUUAGACCCUUUCCGGGGUUUAGUGCCGAAGCUAACGCAUUAAGCACUCCGCCUGGGGAGUACGACCGCAAGGUUG